rnacentral:rRNA from 1 species
AAGAAGGUGCUGAGCAUUGUAAACCUUCUUUUGCCGGGGAAACAAACGCCGUCACGAGCUGGCGGUUUGAGUGUACCCGGAGAAAAAGCAUCGGCUAACUCCGUGCC